rnacentral:rRNA from 1 species
AGAGUUUGAUCAUGGCUCAGAUUGAACGCUGGCGGCAGGCUUAACACAUGCAAGUCGAGCGGUAACAGGGGGAGCUUGCUUCCCGCUGACGAGCGGCGGACGGGUGAGUAAUGCUUAGGAAUCUGCCCAGUAGUGGGGGAUAGCCCGGGGAAACCCGGAUUAAUACCGCAUACGUCCUACGGGAGAAAGCAGGGGAUCUUCGGACCUUGCGCUAUUGGAUGAGCCUAAGUCGGAUUAGCUAGUUGGUGGGGUAAAGGCCUACCAAGGCGACGAUCCGUAGCUGGUCUGAGAGGAUGAUCAGCCACAUCGGGACUGAGACACGGCCCGAACUCCUACGGGAGGCAGCAGUGGGGAAUAUUGGACAAUGGGGGCAACCCUGAUCCAGCCAUGCCGCGUGUGUGAAGAAGGCUUUCGGGUUGUAAAGCACUUUCAGUAGGGAGGAAAACCUUAUGGCUAAUACCCAUGAGGCUUGACGUUACCUACAGAAGAAGCACCGGCUAACUCCGUGCCAGCAGCCGCGGUAAUACGGAGGGUGCAAGCGUUAAUCGGAAUUACUGGGCGUAAAGCGCGCGUAGGUGGUUUGGUAAGCGAGAUGUGAAAGCCCCGGGCUUAACCUGGGAACGGCAUUUCGAACUGUCAGACUAGAGUGUGGUAGAGGGUAGUGGAAUUUCCUGUGUAGCGGUGAAAUGCGUAGAUAUAGGAAGGAACACCAGUGGCGAAGGCGGCUACCUGGACCAACACUGACACUGAGGUGCGAAAGCGUGGG